rnacentral:rRNA from 1 species
UACGAAGGGGGCUAGCGUUGCUCGGAAUCACUGGGCGUAAAGCGCACGUAGGCGGCUUCUUAAGUCAGGGGUGAAAUCCUGGAGCUCAACUCCAGAACUGCCUUUGAUACUGAGAAGCUUGAGUCCGGGAGAGGUGAGUGGAACUGCGAGUGUAGAGGUGAAAUUCGUAGAUAUUCGCAAGAACACCAGUGGCGAAGGCGGCACUCUGGGCCAGUAUUGACGCUGAGGAGCGAAAGCGUGGGGAGCGAACAGG